rnacentral:rRNA from 1 species
AUUGAACGCUGGCGGCAUGCCUUACACAUGCAAGUCGAACGGUAACAGGUUAAGCUGACGAGUGGCGAACGGGUGAGUAAUGUAUCGGAACGUGCCCAGUCGUGGGGGAUAACUGCUCGAAAGAGCAGCUAAUACCGCAUACGACCUGAGGGUGAAAGCGGGGGAUCGCAAGACCUCGCGCGAUUGGAGCGGCCGAUAUCAGAUUAGGUAGUUGGUGAGGUAAAGGCUCACCAAGCCGACGAUCUGUAGCUGGUCUGAGAGGACGUCCAGCCACACUGGGACUGAGACACGGCCCAGACUCCUACGGGAGGCAGCAGUGGGGAAUUUUGGACAAUGGGCGCAAGCCUGAUCCAGCCAUGCCGCGUGCGGGAAGAAGGCCUUCGGGUUGUAAACCGCUUUUGUCAGGGAAGAAAAGGUUCUGGCUAAUACCUGGGACUCAUGACGGUACCUGAAGAAUAAGCACCGGCUAACUACGUG